GCUCUGCACUUUCCAAAUGGCGGUGCAGGCCGAUCACUAUAUAGGGUGGUCAGCUUGGUUGUCCUCCUUCGGGAAACACACUACAGGAUUCGGUAGAACGCGGAGUAGCCUCGAGCGGAACGCGGAGCCGGU
rnacentral:sRNA from 12 species